GCCUCCUCUGGAAGGAGCCAUGGUACCCGGCCGCCGCCCUGUCUUGUCUGGCCACAACCUCAGGGUCUGACUCCUCACCCCCUGGAAACUGGGCGCACACGCACCACUCAAGGCUGGCUUUUGCUAACCUCGGAGGCCACAGAAAACAGUGGAGGUUUUGAAAAAUCCUGCAGACUCUCCUGAGACACCUCUUUCUGGCCAUCUGCAGCAAUAAAGUCUAGUUUCCACGUUCUUCCUGGAAGGGUUUGGCUGCAUAUCUAGUGCCCAGCUUCUCCUGCUGCUUUGCUAGACUUUUAAGUGAUGUGUAAGUGACAGCAAUCACUUACUUGAGUGGGCUGCACUCGCUAGUUUCCUGGAAGUUUGAGCAGAUAAAGAAAUGAGACACAAUGAAAUAAAAUGACUUGCUUAGGUUCAACUACUAAAAGAUGAAGCAGGAUUCAAAUAUGAGCAGCCUUGUCCAAAGUCAUGCGUGCUUUAUUGGAACUGCUGGCAACAUAUGAUUCAGACAAAUGGAGAGAAGUGUUAGAUUAUGUAUAGUUUGUGUACCUGCUUCAUAUGUCCAGUAGCUUGAAGAGAAAGAUUGUAGCCCUUGUGUGACUCUGCAUGGAGUGGGUAUCCUCCUGCCAUUCACUCAGCCAUUACAGAUGCCAUGAGCAUCCCGGGCAGUGAACAUGGCUCUGUCUAUCUCCUUCCCCAGGAGCUUUGUAUGCCUCCUGUUCAUUGAUCAUAUCAUUCCUGAUUUACAACAUCAAAGAAACAAAGGCUCUCUUUAAAUAGCAAAUUAUACAGGAUGUUAGAAGAUAAUUGCAAAUGCAGAAACAAGAAAAGAAGAAAUAAGAAAGAUUAAGCACAGCACAAGGAGUUAAACAUCAUUGUUACCAUCAGGACUCAAAGGCACAAAGAGUAAAACUCAGUUAAAGUCAUGCAGGAUUCACAUCCAGGAUCCCUGCUUCAACCCAACUAUUCCAUAUAUUGUUUUUUAUCCUUCAUGUAGCAAACAUACUCUUCAAACUCAUGUAUGAAUAUUGGGGCUCUGAACACUUCUAGAAGAAGACAAUGUUAACAGAA